rnacentral:rRNA from 1 species
AUUGAACGCUGGCGGCAGGCCUAACACAUGCAAGUCGAACGAGUGGCGGACGGGUGAGUAAUGUCUGGGAAACUGCCUGAUGGAGGGGGAUAACUACUGGAAACGGUAGCUAAUACCGCAUACCAUCAGAUGUGCCCAGAUGGGAUGAGCUAGUGGGUGGGGUAACGGCUCACCAAGGCGACGAACCCUCACUGGUCUGAGAGGAUGACCAGCCCAACUGGAACUGUGACACGGUCCAGUCUCGGCAGGGAUGCAGCAGUGGGGUUUAUUGCCGAAUGUGCGCAAGCCUGAUGCAGCCAUGCCGGGUGUAUGAAGAAGGCCUUCGGGUUGUAAAGUACUUUCAUCGGGGAGGCGUUACCCGCAGACUAAGCACCGUCUAACUCCGUGCCAGCAGGCGCGGUAAUUC